CACUGUCCAGAACAGGUGAUUUAGAGGGCAGGCAGGAUGAGAUGACAAAAAUCCAGGCAAGAUGUAAUAAGAGCAGGAAAUGCAAGAUUCACAGGAUGAAUGGGUGAGACAAGUCUCACAGAGGCACUCAACAGAAUGCGGCUGUGAGGGCAGGAAGGAGGGAGGGCUCAGAACUGACACCAGAGAGAAGGUGGGGACCAUUGUCCUGCCAUGGGGCCGCCCGAGGGGGUACAGUUGUCCAGUGGGAAGUGGUCACUCAGGCUGGGAAGUCAGGAGGGAGAUGUGGGGAGUCAGUGCCACAGAAGUGAGAACAGAAACCAUCAGACAGAGGUGAGGGCAAAGGAAGUGGACAGGAGGGGUGGGGCGCCAGGUUCAAGGCUCAGGGUGCUACACAGCCUGGCUCUGAGCAUUUGCAUUCCUAAAGAACAAACCUGACACAGAUGCUUCUUACCUGCAGGAAGCAGGCUUAGGGCCAUCUUGGUUUUCUGAGUAUAACCAGAACCAACUGAGCCACCCAAAGUCCGUGGGGUGCCAGGGGUGUGGGAACCCAUCAGGACCCACGGUCACCAUCUUGAUUGCACAUGAGAACCACCUGGGACUUUACAAAAUGUCAAUGAUCACCCCAUACCAAUGAGACAGAAUCCUUAUGCAGGGGGCCCAGAGAAACAGUAUUUUAUUUUUUCAAAGAGCUCUC
rnacentral:lncRNA from 1 species